GGUAACCCUGAUUUGACUAACAACCAAACGAUUUCGCAGGAUGCUGACUAAGACGAAAGACACCAAGCUUUAGAGCAUAAGACAAAAGAAGUGACUAAGAUAUGGACAGCAUGCGAUUGUUUGUGCUUCUAGUUCUUCCAGAGAACAUUUCUUGAACGUAGAUCAGGGUUCUAGUCGCUCCUUGAAGUAAAUCUCUCUCGCACAAAGCUCGAAGCUUAAUAAUAGCCACUAAGACUAAAGCGAUUAGGAAAGACGCGAGCGAUUAUCGACGGAAUUUACUUGGCAGUUGCUGCAGUUGACAGAAGACGUUGUCUCUACUAACGGAGGUCGAGUUCAGAUCCUACAUACUUCCAGAGGCGACACCAGUCAAGGUGGGAAUGGCUGUCACAGAUGUUGUGAGGAAAGUUUUCAUCUUUUUCUACACACUAACAGUGGGGCUAGCGGUGGAGUUAGUUAAACUACUGACAGUAUUUGUGAUCAUCGCUGUCGUGGUGUUGACGUGGCUGGUGGUCGCGGCGUUCACCGUGUGGCAGACAUACGAGCACACACACAACGCCGCCCUGACGGUGCUCGCGGGUUGUAGGGCUGUUGCUGGUGGAUAUGUUGUUGUCGUCCUUCUUCGGCGUCUGGCUCGUGGCGUCGUCGGGUCUCCACCAACGUCAUCGACUGAUGUGUUACAGUUGUUGCUGCCUACAAGGUCAUCAAGGGCUGAAGUGAGGUCGUCUCGUCAGUCGACGAUCUCCGGCACAAAGGUUAAAAACAAUGGAGUGUCUAAGAAACGAGUUUAGACACACUAGGACGUCUCUUGGCAAGAAACAAGAGUUGGGUAUGAAUUCAGUGACAUCCAGUGACCUGUGACCUCAAGUCAAUACAUGAACCAGGAACCACAUGAAGAGAAAGACUUUGCAGGCUAUUGCAGAAAGAUCAUAGCGGUUAAUAUCACAAAUAACUGAACGUGUACAAGACUGUGACCAAUACAAAUAAAAAUAUUAUUGUUAAAUCAACAUUUUCAUUGUCGUGUUUCAUACUUUAUUGGUAUUGGCCAUGGUCUUGAACACUAUUACUUAUUUCUGAGACCGUAUCCAGCUCAAGACGACGGAUACCCUCGGUGUUUGCCUUACAGGUACCGAGAUCUUCAAUGAAAUGAAAUGGUAUAUUGAAUGGAAUUCACCCAGUAGAUAUAGUGUUGUGUCCUGAGGAGAGUAGGAAUUAUGAUUAAUAUGCACAAAUGUUGCAUGCAGUUAGGAACACCUAACACACAAUACACAGCACUACCUACAUUAAAUUACACCACAAAGUACAUUUGUCUGUACUCCACACUAGACUGCAAUACCUUCACUGCAUACUACAUGCUACUCACACCAUACACUACACUACACACUACACUACACUACACUACACUACACUACACUACACUACACUACACUACACUACACUACACACACGACACUGUAUUACACAAUAUGGCAUCUCAUAUCACACGGUACUGUUCAUCCUACUCUGCAUUACUCCCCACUGCCGUCUGCACAGUGUGUGUGUUAGUGUGUGUGAGGGUUAGGGUCAGGGUUAGGGUUAGGGGUAAAAAAGAUAUGUGUUCUUUGAUCUUGGCAUCUGUUCAUCUGUAUGCCUCGGACUUAAGCGUUCAGAUGGGGUUUGUCGGAGACACACGACACUCACAUUUAGCCAUAUCCGACAAGAUGUCACAAGAUGUCGGCAGGUACGGCAAGAAAUGGAAGAGGUGGCUCCAUGUGACAAGAUUUUAUAGGAUUCUCUUCAUCUUUCAGGUCUGCUUGUGUUGUAUAAUAAUUUCAGUUUUACCCAGGUCAGUUAACCAUUCAGCGGGAAUUUCUGUAUAACUACGACCAAAACAAAACAAUAGAAAAAAUAUAAAGACCACACACAUGAUGUAUGGGAAUGUAUAGAGGUAGAAGAAACCUCUCGCUAUACACAAGAGAUAUUUUUGAUAGUGUGAAAAACUUGAAUCCUGAUCGUACACCGGGUACAUCUGUCGAGAGGUCAUCAGAAAUCGCCUGACCUUGAACAUGUUCUCUUUUUGACUGUACAAGAUGACACUACCAUAGAAUAUUCGCUAUAUAAAUGAUAACUUUGUCAGUCGUAGAGUUCGUUAGGAUAAAGAAAGGUGUACAUAAGCUACAUAAGCUACCCAGCUAACUCCUCUGAGGACCGUUCGACCUUGUGUAGAUGGAAGGCGGCGAUCUACUUCAGCGGGAAUUCCGUCUUUCUAUUUGUAUUUACAGCCACUUAGGAUAAUGUGAUAAGGAAAGACUAGGGCGAGUAUAACAGGAGUUUAUUUAUCACUUCCUGCUGUUGACACAAGACGUUGUUUCUGUUAACUUUCACAAAGGUCGAGUUCAGAUCGUGCAUCUUCAGAUCGAGAGGCCAAACCGGUCAGGGUGAGAAUGGACGUCGAAGAUCUUGCAAGGAAAGUUUUCAUAUUUUUCUACAGACUAACAGUGGGGCUGGUGGUGGAGUUAGUUAAACAAUCGAUGCUAAUGGUGAUCGUCGCUGUCGCGGUGUUGAUGUGCCUGGUUGUCGGGGCCUUGACCGUGUGGCAGACAUACGAGCACACACACAACGCCGUCCUGACGCUGCUGGUGGGUUGUGGGGCUGUUGCUGGUGGAUAUGUCGUCAUCAUCCUUGUUCGGCGUCUGGCUCUUAACCUCUGGCUCGUGGCGCCUGAUCCAAAGUCAUCGACUGAUGUGUUACAGUUGUUGCUGCCUGAAGGUCAUUGAGUGCUGAAGUAAGGUCGUCUCGUCAGUUGACGACAUCUGCAGUUUCCGGGACAAAGGUCGAGAACAAUGGCGUGUCCAAGAAACGAGUUUAGGUCAGUUCUAAGAUAAAUCUGAUUUUUUUUUCAUGAUAGUAAUGCGGUCUUGUGAUGUUAUUAAGCGCGUCACCGCUUUGUAACCGUAAAAGAAAAGAGCAUUUGAUGUAAAAACGAGGAAUAUAAAGUUCAGCGGGUGAUACCGUUGCUCAGUGGAGACCACGUUUUACAAGCUUAUACAUGUAUUUUUAGUAGCAUGUUAUACAUGUUUGUCAUAGAAACAUUCUAGAAGUACUGGUAGUUUAUAAAUUUACAGUUUUAAUUGCUGAACUAUUAGUCAGACUUUGCUCAGAGCAAGACAAUGCCUUCGUAUGCUCUGCCGUGAAAACUGUGACGGUUCAGUGAGUAAGGCCAUCAGUUACACCUCGUCCCAUUACUUCACUGUUGUACACUCUCCGUCUGCAGACACAUGGGGUUGUCUCCUCAAGGGACUAGGAGCUGAGUAUGAAUUCAGUGACAUCCAGUGACCCGUGACUCCAUCUCGCAGUGACUUCGUCAGUACAUUAACCAGGAUCACAUGAGAGAAAGAUUUGCAAGCUAUUGCAGAAGGAUUAUAAUAUCACAAAUAACUGAACGUAUAUAAGACAUUGACCAUUACAAAAAUAUUAUUGUCUUGUUUCAAUGAACAUUUUAUGCUGAACCUCAUACAUUUUUGUACUGAUCAGCCUUGAGCACUAUGACUUAUUUCUGAGAACGUUUACAGCUGAAGACGAUGGAUACCAUCAUCGCACACUGUGUUUGCAAAUAUUUUUUUUAUAUAUCGCUCCUUGUGUCAGUUAAGAACAGAAAGCGAGUGUUCAUAAUCCGUAUCUGCUUGGGUGCUUUCAAUCCCGCGUUGUGCCAUUUCGACUUCUCUCGACAAGAGACCUUGAACUGAUCUCCAACAACCCGUAACCGUUGGUCACAACCGAAUGCAGUAUCGACACGAAGAGCUACAACCUUGCAAAGUGUUCGAGAGGACAGAAUAUUUAUGUAAAAUGCUGCAUGCAAAACGAACCCUACGACACGAGGCAACCGUUGAUAGCCGUCAACACACGAUUAUUUUCAGGAAAAAAAUGUUUUUCUGAUACAUGUUACAUACCAAUAUUUUAAACAUCAUGAUUAAAAGCGCUGAGCAAUAUAAGUAGGAAAAUACAAUGUAUCUUAAUUAUCAUGUGUUGUUAAUAAUAUCCAUUGCUUUCUGUUUUUGAUUUAUAUUUUACAAUUGUUAUUUCACUCGUUUGAGUACCGAAGAGUAAGGAAGAUAUCGUAAAUGUUGUUUGUUCAGGUUACAAUGUUAUCAUUUCUUUCGUGCAAAAUGUAUUUAUACAAUUUAAUAUGUUCUUUUCCAUUUUAUCAACAUGAGCAUUUGUCAAAUGAUGGUAAAUAUAUUAUUGACAAGUCCGAGGGAAUCUUGAAAGUGUAUAUUUUUCCAAUAAGAAACAAACCAAUGUGAUAAAAAAUAAAUGAUUUAUAGUUAAAAAAAAUGUUACCCUUUCAGAACUAAUUGUUGCUGAAGUCUUCUAGUCUUCAGAGCAACAUUUUUAUAAGCGAUAGAAACAAUCUAUACGAUGAUAUAUAUGAUAUAUAUAAUCAUGGCUAUCAACCAUGCAGGCUUUAAGAUAUAUAAAAUAUAUGAUCUUACAUGCGUUUUCAAUCAGGGCCUUUUUCCUGUAGACUAUAUUUCAGCAUUUAUAUGCCGUAGGUUUAUUCAUUAUUUAUGUAUUAUUAACCAUCUCUCUCAAAUAAAAAUUGUUUAAAAAGUGAUUAAAAGAACUGCUAAGUUAUGUCUUUAUUUAUAUUCAAGGUGUAAGUACUCAAUGUACUCCAGAAUGAGCAUAAAGGCUCUGUGUCAAACAAACUGCAAUCAAAUAAAAAUAAUAUGUAAAAUAUAGAAAACAAGAUAAAUACCAAAAAAGUUGUAUAACAAAAUAACCUGUGACAUUGUAAAAGUACUUAGGCAAAGGAUUUAUUCUGUCUUUAUUUGAAGCCAUUUUUUAUUUUAGACAAUUUAUCCAGUAAAAGUAUGUUUUUGUACAUAAGGGAUAAUGAUCUAAAUACGAGUUUUAUUUAAUAUAAUUUAAGUAAAAUUGUUGAUCCUGAUAGUGAGACUGUUGAAGCCGAGGAGUUUUUUUUAACAUAGGAUUUCUCGAACGGUUUUAGUGUCACGUAUACCUGUGUUUUACCUGUUUUAUUGCGAAGGUAUAUAACGCGUUCAGGGGAGGCAAUGACCUUUACUAAGAUAAAUUCGGAGUACAGUCCCUUACAUUGUGUUUCGUCUUAGCAUCAACAUGCAGUUCUUUGUCGAUAUGCCUAGUCUAAUUUUACUGUGUUCUUUAAAUAAUUCGUUAAAUAAAAUAUUUCCGUAAAUUACAAAU